rnacentral:rRNA from 1 species
CUAGACUUGACAUCUCCUGCAUUACUCUUAAUCGAGGAAGUCCCUUCGGGGACAGGAUGACAGGUGGUGCAUGGUUGUCGUCAGCUCGUGUCGUGAGAUGUUGGGUUAAGUCCCGCAACGAGCGCAACCCUUGCCUUUAGUUGCCAGCAUUAAGUUGGGCACUCUAGAGGGACUGCCAGGGAUAACCUGGAGGAAGGUGGGGAUGACGUCAAAUCAUCAUGCCCCUUAUGCUUAGGGCUACACACGUGCUACAAUGGGUGGUACAGAGGGCAGCCAAGUCGUGAGGCCGAGCUAAUCCCUUAAAGCCAUUCUCAGUUCGGAUUGUAGGCUGAAACUCGCCUACAUGAAGCUGGAGUUACUAGUAAUCGCAGAUCAGAAUGCUGCGGUGAAUGCGUUCCC